GAUUGAACGCUGGCGGCAUGCCUUACACAUGCAAGUCGAACGGCAGCACGGGUGCUUGCACCUGGUGGCGAGUGGCGAACGGGUGAGUAAUACAUCGGAACAUGUCCUGUAGUUGGGGAUAGCCCGGCGAAAGCCGGAUUAAUACCGCAUACGAUCCACGGAUGAAAGCGGGGGACCUUCGGGCCUCGCGCUAUAGGGUUGGCCGAUGGCUGAUUAGCUAGUUGGUGGGGUAAAGGCCUACCAAGGCGACGAUCAGUAGCUGGUCUGAGAGGACGACCAGCCACACUGGGACUGAGACACGGCCCAGACUCCUACGGGAGGCAGCAGUGGGGAAUUUUGGACAAUGGGCGAAAGCCUGAUCCAGCAAUGCCGCGUGUGUGAAGAAGGCCUUCGGGUUGUAAAGCACUUUUGUCCGGAAAGAAAUCCUUGACUCUAAUACAGUCGGGGGAUGACGGUACCGGAAGAAUAAGCACCGGCUAACUACGUG
rnacentral:rRNA from 1 species